rnacentral:rRNA from 1 species
GACGGGGGGGGGCAAGUGUUCUUCGGAAUGACUGGGCGUAAAGGGCACGUAGGCGGUGAAUCGGGUUGAAAGUGAAAGUCGCCAAAAAGUGGCGGAAUGCUCUCGAAACCAAUUCACUUGAGUGAGACAGAGGAGAGUGGAAUUCCUGGUGUAGCGGUGAAAUGCGCAGAUAUCAGGAAGAACACCCGUGGCGAAGGCGGCUCUCUGGGACGGUACUGACGCUGAGGUGCGAAAGCGUGGGGAGCAAACAGG